AGGACGAACGCUGGCGGCGUGCUUAACACAUGCAAGUCGAGGGCACUUAUGCAGCAAUGUGUGAGUGACCGGCGAACGGGUGCGUAACACGUGAGCGACCUUGCCUCGUGGUGGGGGAUAGCCGGCCCAACGGCCGGGUAAUACCGCAUAUGGUAGUUUCUUCGCAUGGGGAGACUAGCAAAGCCUUGCAGCAAUGCAAUGGCGCCACAGGGGGGGCUCGCGGCCUAUCAGCUAGUUGGGGGGGUAAUGGCCCACCAAGGCGACGACGGGUAGC
rnacentral:rRNA from 1 species